GACAGAGGGUGCAAACGUUUGUUCGGAAUUACUGGGCGUAAAGCGCAUGUAGGCGGCCUAGCAGGUCGGAUGUGAAAUCCCUCGGCUCAACCAAGGAAGUGCAUUCGAAACCGCAAGGCUCGAGUCCCGGAGAGGAUGGUGGAAUUCUCGGUGUAGAGGUGAAAUUCGUAGAUAUCGAGAGGAACACCGGCGGCGAAGGCGG
rnacentral:rRNA from 1 species